rnacentral:ncRNA from 3 species
UCAGUGCAUGACAGAACUUGGUU